rnacentral:lncRNA from 1 species
CCAUCCACGAGAGUUAUACCCCUCUCUGGGGACUGGCUACCGUCUGGGACACCCCCAGCCUGGGGCAGACUCAACCUUCCCACCUGCCCUGACAGAGGGCUACCGCUACCCUGGUGAGCGGUUGGAUUGGCUCUGGGUAAGGGGCAGGAAACUGGGAAUUUGUGGCCCUCCCCUGGAUCCUCAUUCUUCCCACAUCUCCAGAUUUGGAUACUUCUAAACUGGAUUGCUUCCUCUCUGGGAUUGAGGCAGCUCCCCACACUCUGGCUGCACCCCCUCCUUUGCCCCUUCUCCCAUCUGCUCUGGGCCCUGAGACAGCACCGCCACCCCCAGAGGCCCUUCACUCGCUUCCUGGGGUCAGCCUGAGCUUGGAGAACCAGGAACUGUGGAAGGAAUUCAGCGCUGUGGGAACAGAGAUGA